rnacentral:tRNA from 1 species
CGAACAGCUGGCCCGGGGCCGUCAGCCGGGCUCUGACCUCGGCGAUGCUCGUCAGUUCGGGGCCGUUCACUUCGC